rnacentral:lncRNA from 1 species
GAGCGCGCUUGCUGCCGGAGCUUUACGAGGAGGCCGGGCGAGGGAGCGUCUUCACUGUUCUUGACGUCGCGCCGAGGUUCGACGCUGUCGAGGUGGGUGAUUCGGCGUCUUUCCUGGAUUUUGGGCAAGUAUUAUUAUUUCUACUCGGUUAGUAGCUGUUUUGCUGAAAUCCGCCGUCGACUGUUCGUAUUUCAGCUCGUUCUCCGCGUAGGAACGUCGGAUCGCGACGAGGCUUGGUUCGUUGGAUUCGGGACUUCGAGAGGAAUCCACGAAGCCCUCACUUGCCAGAUUUGGUGAAGGUUAGCUCGGUCGAAUCCCGUUCCUACUCAGCUGCUGUGAAUUUCUGGACUGAAUCGAGGAUCCUUAAUUGUUUAGCUUGGCGUUAGCUCGUCCACCGGACUUGGAGGUCCCCAGUUGAUCCAGCAGAGGUUGUCCUGGUUCGAGGCUUCGUUCGCUGCCUGGAUUUAGCUUUUGAGGUGGGUUACAUCGGCUUUACUCCUAAGUUCUUAUUGGUCGACAUGUAUAGAUCUUGAUUUCGGUAAUUAAUUUUAGCUCAAAUUCAUGGACUAUAUGUAGAUUGUGAAAUCUGAAUUUUGGAGCAUGUUGUUUUAAAUUAAGUAGAUUAUACAUGUUGGACUUGGAAAUUGAAUUAGGAGAAAACCUGCGAUUUGGACCUGUCACCUGUAUAAACUGCCUGAUUUAGCUCUAGGAGCCGUUAGAAAAUUGUACUGUCGCAGUAUUGUCGAGACGAGUACUCCAGGUAGUUUAGAAUAUAUUUACACUCGUGCUGGUUCGCCGAGUGGAUUUUUACCGGGUCGUUCAGGUUAUUUCGGACUGUUGGGUGCCGUCAGAGUUGACGGUGGACCCGUAUCGCCUUUUUGGCGUCAGAUUGUGCCGAGGGCACGUUACCUGUUGGUUGUUAGACCAGUUUAGAGUCGGUUUCUUGACUUUGGCUUUCCAGAGCCUGUUUGAGCUCGACAGAGAUACGCUGCAUACUCGGUUGGGUAGCGCCCACGAGUGCCACUCCGGAGUCAGGCUUGUGCUUUUGCGUUGGUGUCGCUCAUGCCAGUUGGACUUGCUCUCCACGGACCAGUUAGAGUGGAUAGAGCCCGAUAGUCGCAACGGGGCAGGGACGGGUGUAUUCACAGUCCCGGGGACGGGUAUGCUUACAGUCCCGAUUUGGAUUGGGUCAGAUUUGACAUUUCCUACAGUUGGUUAGUGUAGAGCAUGAUAGUGUAGUGGAUGAUAGCGGUAGAGUGUACUUCCUGCUUUUCCUUCUAUCCUUGCUCCCUUCUGUAGACUUAGUGGGUGACCGAUGUCGUUUUGGGCGGUACCCACUGAGGACUACUUGUUCUUACAGUAGUUCUCACGCCCAGUUGUUACUUAUGUUUUGCAGAGCCA